rnacentral:rRNA from 1 species
GACGAACGCUGGCGGCGUGCUUAACACAUGCAAGUCGAACGGAAAGGUCCUGCUUUUGUGGGGUGCUCGAGUGGCGAACGGGUGAGUAACAUGUGAGUAACCUGCCCUUGACUUUUGGAUAACUUCAGGAAACUGGGGCUAAUACCGGAUAGGAGCUCCUGCUGCAUGGUGGGGGUUGGAAAGUUUCGGCGGUUGGGGAUGGACUCGCGGCUUAUCAGCUUGUUGGUGGGGUAGUGGCUUACCAAGGCUUUGACGGGUAGCCGGCCUGAGAGGGUCACCGGCCACAUUGGGAAUGAGAUACGGCCCAGACUCCUACGGGAGGCAGCAGUGGGGAGUAUGGCACAAUGGGCGGAAGCGUGAUGCAGAAGCGCCUCGUGCGGGAUGACGGCCGUCGGGGUGUAAACAGCUUUCGCCUGUGACGAAGCGUGAGUGACGGUAAUGGGUAAAGAAGCACCGGCUAACUACGU